AGGACGAACGCUGGCGGCGUGCUAACACAUGCAAGUCGAGCGAUGAAGCUUCUCGGAAGUGGAUUAGCGGCGGACGGGUGAGUAACACGUGGGUAACCUGCCUCAUAGAGGGGAAUAGCCUUCCGAAAGGAAGAUUAAUACCGCAUAAGAUUGUAAUAUCGCAUGAUAUAGCAAUUAAAGGAGUAAUCCGCUAUGAGAUGGACCCGCGUCGCAUUAGCUAGUUGGUGAGGUAACGGCUCACCAAGGCGACGAUGCGUAGCCGACCUGAGAGGGUGAUCGGCCACAUUGGGACUGAGACACGGCCCAGACUCCUACGGGAGGCAGCAGUGGGGAAUAUUGCACAAUGGGGGAAACCCUGAUGCAAGCAACGCCGCGUGAGUGAUGACGGUCUUCGGAUUGUAAAGCUCUGUCUUCAGGGACGAUAAUGACGGUACCUGAGGAGGAAGCCACGGCUAACUACGUGCCAGCCGCCGC
rnacentral:rRNA from 1 species